CUUGUGGAAUGAUUAUGUUGUUAUCUGCAUUAAAAUAUAUAGCUUUAAAGAAAUGGGCCUUCUCUCCAUCUUUAAAAGCCCAUAACUUGGUCUAUAGGACUCGGAAUUCAAUAUGGCCUACCUUUAUGAGCUUGUGGAAUUAUUAUGUUGUUAUCUGCACUAAAAUAUAUAACUUAAAAGAUGUUUUACAGAAAUGGGCCUUCUCCCCAUCCUUAAAAGCCCA